AUUGAACGCUGGCGGCAUGCUUUACACAUGCAAGUCGAACGGUAACAGGCCGCAAGGUGCUGACGAGUGGCGAACGGGUGAGUAAUGCAUCGGAACGUGCCCAGUCGUGGGGGAUAACUACUCGAAAGAGUAGCUAAUACCGCAUACGAUCUAUGGAUGAAAGCGGGGGACCGUAAGGCCUCGCGCGAUUGGAGCGGCCGAUGUCAGAUUAGGUAGUUGGUGGGGUAAAGGCUCACCAAGCCAACGAUCUGUAGCUGGUCUGAGAGGACGACCAGCCACACUGGGACUGAGACACGACCCAGACUCCUACGGGAGGCAGCAGUGGGGAAUUUUGGACAAUGGGCGCAAGCCUGAUCCAGCAAUGCCGCGUGCAGGAAGAAGGCCUUCGGGUUGUAAACUGCUUUUGUACGGAACGAAACGGCUCUGGUUAAUACCCGGGGCUAAUGACGGUACCGUAAGAAUAGGCACCGGCUAACUACGUG
rnacentral:rRNA from 1 species